GUAGUCAGAACUGGAGUUUGAACACGUUAAGUGUGAGAGGUUGAUAGCUGAUGACACCCCAAAUGAAGAAUACUGAGUUGGGGGUUCAAUACAAGUCUGGAAUUUAGGAGAGAGGGUGACACCAUAGCGAGCAAUCUGGCCGUUGUCACUAAACAUCCCAGCCAUGUUGUUACAUCCGGCCAUGAUGUAAUAAACAAUUGGUGUAGGUAACAGAUGAAGGCAGUCCUAGGACUGAACUGCUGGGCCCCAGACAUGAUAAGCCCGGGAUAAGAAAAAUGCAACAGAGAUUAAGGAGGAGUGGCCGGUGAAGCAGGAAGAAAACCAGGAGAUGGUGGGGUCUGAGAAGCCAAGGAAAAUGAGUGCUUCAAGAAGCAGUGAACAUCUAUGUCACGGGCGAGAUCCAAUGGACAACAAAGCAAAGGUUUCCCCUACCUGCUGUUUCUUGCCCAUGGCAAGUGUUCAGCUCAGCCAGAAGCUGGUUAAAAUCAUCCUGAUGAGCAAUCCAGUUAUCCUGAAAAUACCCAAAAAAUCAAAUAAAGGUCUGGGAUAGGACCAGAAAUUUUGCGCUUCCAACAAGCUUCCAAGGAUGUGGGUGCCGAUGAUUCACAGACCUUCCUUUGUGCAGCAGGCCAUUAAACAACCAAAGAAUAUAUUGCUUCCUUCAUCAGGAAAACCUGAGGUGGCAUGCAAAAAUACAUGGGUCACAGAAAUUUUAAAAAUAUGAAGAAGUCCAGUCAAAGGGAGAAAAUAUAGUAAGGACAUUCGGAAAGCAAAUCUGGGAAUAUCCCUCACCAAGCAGGAGAAUCAAGUGGAAGAAAAUACCACUUGGGAGUCUAGGCUCUGAGCAGAGCUGAUUUUCCAGAGGCAAAUAUAUGUUUUCUUGAAGUCAUCCAACAUCAUUUUAUGAUUCUGUGCUCUUGGUUCACAGUCUAUAAGGGAAUAGCUACUCCCAAAAAACAGAAAAUGAAAUUUUUCCUCCAUGUUUUCUUUCUUUCUCUCUGUUAAUGUUUAUAUGUUAUUGCUAGACAGAGGGCAAGACACAGCAGAUUUUCCCUAUUCCUAGUGCAGCUUUUAACAUUCCUCCCCAAAUGCCCAAGGCCCUUCCUCUUCAGAAGGGUACAGGUGGGGAGAGUUACAUAACAAGAUGAGAGUGUAAUUCAAAUAGAGCUGGGGGGUUUCAAUGUACAUAUUGAAAUGUAAAUAUUGUUAACUAUUACUUUGUGUUCUAUAUUUUUCCUAAGUGUUGUGUCAUGUGUCCUUAAAAGGAGCCUGCUAGGGGAUCCUGGGUGUCUCAAUCUGUUAAGUCUCUUGAUUUCAGCUCAGGUCAUGAUCUCACAGUUCAUGAGUUCAAGCUCCACAUCAGGCUCUGCUCUAACAAUGUGGAGCCUGCUUGGGAUUCUUUCUCUCCCCCUCUCUCUACCCCUUCCCUGGUCAAGCUUGCAUUCUCUCUCAAAAUAAAUAAAUAAACUUAAAAAAAAAAAAAAAAAAGGGAGGAGCCUCCUUAACUUUUGCCUCUGUUUGUGCAGAAGACCAGACCAGCUCCCAUUGGUCGGAAGCUGCACAGGCUGCAGUCUGGUCUGAAAAUUGAACGCUGAGUUAGAUUAGUGCUCCCUUUCCGGCAUCUGAGGAGGGGUGCAUGUAGGGGACCUGAGAAGCAGCUUUGAAGGAUGAGGCUGUCCCAGGUAGCCUGGUGAUGUUUACUGAAGAUUCCAGGGACCUCCUUCCUUUGCAUACAUUUCUCCUGUGCCCAUUGCAAGCCUCACAUUUCUGCCAUCCCUGUGUAUAUGGGUGGGAGAUGGGAAGGGGGGUUCUUUUCCUGAAGGUGCUAUGGCAGCAUAUGUGGUUCCUAGGCUUAAUAUAUAUUAAGUGAGGGGCUGGUGUGUGGGUCUCCUCAUUAGGAGAGGACCAUGAGUUUAUUUGAAUGAAUAUGCCCCCAAACCUACCCUGCACCCAACAAAAAACCUCUCCUAAGGAUGGAGAAUAUCUCAAGGCAAGGAAAUAACUGGAAUUCUACUCUCAGAGGUCUUUUGCCAAAGAGUUUUCAGAUGAGGACUUCUUUUCUACUCUGCCCAAGUCUGGCAGAGGGAGGAUGAGGAAUUUCACUCCCAGUCCCAGGGAUGAUCUCUUCCUUCUUGUGACACUGAAAUUGUGGAAAGGGAUCAUAAGUCAAAUCAACGGGCUAAAAUCUGGGAGCAGAGGAAAUCAGGUAAGGUCUGAGAGAGAGUAAGCAAAAGAAGGGGCCAGAAGGAAGAAAACUAGGUUAAAAGAUGAAGGGCAGUGCAGGGCACAGAGGAAGGAUGGCUCAACGUCUGCCUCUCUUGGCUUUAGUGCAUCCAAACAGGUCUCUGUAGCCCUUGACUGGAUGCCUGGGUCCAAGGGCUGAUGGGUGGUGCUUUGGGACCUCCUGGAAUUGGGGUAUCAUGAACAUGGGUGUGUAUGUGUCUGUGUAUGACCAGCAAAUGUGAACUUGACAGCAGUUAGCUAUGGGGAUUGUUUACAAUAGCCUAUCACCCAGCUCCAACUACCAGGGACCAAGGUAACCCAGACUUCUCUUUACAAGUUAAGGAGAAAAGAGGGUCCAGAAUCACAAAUCCCCAAAUGCACAUAUACAUUGGCACAGGGGAAGAAUCUGAAAUUUUGGACUACUAUUCCCAAAGAGCAAUUUUCCCAUAUAUCUGAAAAGGGUCUUCUAUGUUGCCUGUGAUGAAAUGGUUUGCCAAAGCAGAUCAACUCAAUUUAGAAAGGAUUUUAGUUUAAGAUAAUAAGUGCCUCCCACAUCCUUUCCUUAGAACCCAAGCUCUCUUUAAACAGCUAAAUCCCCUGCAAGCUAAAGAUUACCAUAAGUUUAAUGGGAGUUUUGGAAAAGAGAUUUGGAAAGAAGUGGAUGGGAGGGGAAUUUCUAUGUCUUUCCUGGUAGCUGAGCCUUUGUAGGGCUGAAGAGCUGCUUAUUUUAUGUAAUUGGCAACUGAUCAUUUCUAAAGUAUUGGUUUAGGACUUAAAAUAAUCCAUUAAUGAAUCUCCUGUAUGGAACAUACAAAUGUUCCCAGAAGAAUAGGCUGAAGAUGGUGUGGGGGUGAUGAAGGAAUCAAAGGGAGGUCCCUUGGCUCACUAGCCAGAGUUGUCUUCUGAUGUGUUCUUGCUGGCUGAGAUAAGCUUGCACUCAAGGAGCCUGGGCCAGAGAGGGAGGUGCCCAAGAAGGGCAGUUGUAGAAAGUUGUAGGCUUAAAAGUUGGGAGAAGGAAAAGGGAGGGAAUGGGGAUGCAGAAGAUCAAAUGACUGAUUGUUGAGAACAUCCAUCUUUCCUCCCAGAGUCCUAGACAUACCCAAGACAGACCUCUCAGAGUCCUAGACAUAAAAUCUGUCUCUCAGUCUCUUUCUCUCCUCAGAGGAGUCUCAUGUGGAGCCAAACUUUUACUAGGAAGAAAGGGCUGAUAGAUUCCUUUCAAGUAGCAUUUCUCUCUCUCCUCCCAGAUGACAUCUUUUAAAUAAAAAUGGAACAUGUUCAAACAUAUAGAGAAGACUAGAGAUUAAUGUCAUGAGGCUCAUGAAAUUACCACCCCCUUUGCCAAAUAUGCUUGGAAAAAGUUUUUAAUAAAGCCCUUUGGAUGUUUGGAUGCAAUUGCAUUUGACACCUCCUCCCUCUUUCUCUGGUUGCCUGCUUCUGGAAACCUGCUUCCACUUGUCACCACCCCUGCCCACCUUCUCACCUAUCUUCCAGUAAAGAGCCAGGAAUGAGUACAGUUGUGUUCAAUUUUGUGUUUAUACUACUAUAGCCAUAAGGAAUUAUACUAAGGAAGCAAUAGAAACCAUUUGGUUGGUUGUCAGUGGGCUUUUUGAAGGCAACUUUCCCCAGGGAUUCAUUUGCAGCAUUUCUAGCAUAAGGUUCUAGGGGGUGGGGGUGGGGGUUGUAUCCAGAAAAUAUAACACAGAAGUCUUCUGUUUCUUCCUACCCUUCACCCUCCAGCACUUUUAACACUGAAUUUUCUCCCUAGCUUCUUCUCAUUUUAUCUGCUUUGGGUUUUCCCAUAUCUGGCCCCUAUGCCAACCUUUGAUUGCCAGCCUGCAUUCAGGCUCCAUGGGUAAGUAGAGGCGUCUCUGUGGUGCUCCCUAUGUGCAGAGGUGUGUCAGUAUAUCAGCAGGCAGUUGAUGCCUGGAGAGCCUGCCCACUUACCUCCUUGUUUCCCUUGUAAAAUCUCUGCCACUCCCAGGGGUCUCCAGCUGCUGCCAAGAAGCCUUUGGUUGACUCAGAGGCAACGCUCUGCUCACACUGAUGCCAAUAAAUCCCUAGAAUUUUUCACUCCGUGAUUAUUUGUCCCUCCCUGACCAUGAAUAAAUGAAAAGCCACACACACACACAUGUUAUUAAAAUGAACUGUUUAUAUUAUCUCAGUUGAGUCAAUACAUUAUAAUGUAUUAAAAUGGAAAGGUACAAAAUUGAAAUAAAUACUUUCUGAUUCAUGUAUAAAUCUUUUUUUUUUUUGUCAAGAUGACUUUUAUCGUCAGUACAUGUCACAAGAAAACAUUUAAAAUGACACUGAAACAAUCAUUUAAAUCAUGGUGCAUGGAGGAAAAAGGUAAAGAAAACAACUUUUGGCUUGUUUUGGCAUGAGACCUUGAUACAAUUUGGGUUCCCCAAAACCAUGUGAAGGGUGGUAAAAUAGAAAUGCUCAAAACUGACUUAAAAAAAUAAACAGGCUUUACAAAAACCCUCUUUUUGAUAAACCCAGCCACUUCUCUACAUGGUCUGCACUUACAGUAGAUACAUUCAUUAUUGUCCAUGGGAAGACAGCAACUGCCUUUCGUUUUAAAGAGCUUGGUGGAGAGGCUGAAGAAAUACGCUGCAGCUGAAGGUGAGUAGAAUGUUCAGGAGAACAAAAAGUCUAGAUGGUCUUCAGGAACGGCACUGAGAAUGAUGGGGUGUGGAGGGUCUCUGGAACAAGAGAUGGAGGAGAGGGAGCGUGAGGAGUCCAGAUCUGAAGCAAAGCAAGUCUGAAGGACAGAAAUGGUUGUCAGCAGUGAAAAUGUGAUGUGGGGAUCUCUCCCCGUCUGAGCAGUCCUGGGUUUGUCCUUGGCAUGGGUUUGUCUCUGCCUCAGCAGAGGCUAACCCAGUGCUUUGGAGAUAGGGUUGGGACUCAUUUCAGGCACAGCAGCACUGGGGAGACCGGGACAGGUGUAGGGGUUAACAAUGAAUGCCAACAAAGGGGCUUUCUCUUCUGGUUCUGACUGCUUAUUAGGUGGUUGUUAAGGCAAUAAGGACUUUAGCAAACUAGAAGUUAAGGGCAGCUAAAUUCAGCCAGAUUGAAGGUAAACAAAAGGUGAGAAGGAGUCCCUUUCUCCUCAGCUACCUUUCCCCCCAAGCACAGGAGGCCUCGGCUCCUGAAGCGCUGAAUUUACAGUACGCAGUAGCAGAGGGCGUGCCCUUUGGAAGGCUCCAUGGAAAAGAAGGCUUAUUCCUGACUUGGGGCAUUUUAUUCUUCAGACUCUCUUUGUUGAAGUUCUUUCAGGAGGGCAGGCUAUGCUCACCCAGCUAUUGAGUGAAAAGUGGAAGCACCAAAGUUUGUGCAGUUAGAAUAAGUCCUUUGCUAUAGACCAUCUGGUCCAUUUCAAUGGCCUUGAACACCAUCUGUCCUAGAAAGGCAGGCCUGAUGCUCACAUGCUUCAGUGAGACCUAUGCUCACCUGGAGAACAGGACUAGCCUUUCAAGCUUCAGGAAUAUUUCCCUUGCAUCAGAUCGAAUGACAGCUACAAAGUCCAUGGAAGUGUGAGAUCCUUGGAAGGUUUGUGAGCCCAUAGGUGGAUUCUUAGGGGAGUAAUAGAAACUCCUUUGACUUGAAUCCGCUCACAGAGAAAUGUACAGAAGACGGAACAGAACAGAUGGAAGAAUCUUUUCUUUUCUUCUUGUUCUGGAGUAAAGGAGAUGGACCUUGAAAUGCUAUGGGAAGGAUAAACCUUGAGAGUUGCCUGCCAUUCUGAGCAGCUUCUGGCAAGAUGCUGGGUGAUCCGACCACUGAGACCCUGGAAUGGAAGAACUGGCUCUCAGGCAAUUGCUAAAAGCACCUUGGGCUUCAAAAAAUAAUGGUGCCACUCAAUGCCCUGAUUCCUUCUCUACAACAUGGAUGGACCCUGCCCAAAGAGCCUCCUGGGAACAAUCAGAUGGACACCAAUUCACUUAAAAAAUCCUUGGAGAAAUAACCCACUUAUCUGGAAAUCUCCUCACCUUUUAAGACCACACACAAAAGUAACAGCAACAAAACCUACAGAAAGAAGACACAGAAGUUCUCAGGCCAACCAUAAAAGACAUCUCAAAGUGUUUAUAGGGAGGCUCCUAUUCCAUGGAAGUCUCCAAGAACUCAUACUGUACAGGUCAUGCUCAGGGUGACCUGUGGGAAACAGGCAUCAUUUUUCCUGGGGAUACCUUAUUGCAUAAAUGGUCACUAAAUUUGUAAGUGCCCUAAAACCUCCCACACUCUCUUAGCCUCUCUGGCCAUCUGCAAGAAAACAAAAAUGUCCUGGUCCUUGAUGGGUGCUCUGAGCUACCUGGCCUUUGUGAGCUGUUGGGAAAGGACAUGAGUGGAGCCUGGAUCUUGAAGAAGAGUGGGACCAAAUCUCCAAGCCCGUACCCCCUGCCCCCAGCUGUACCCCUACUGACCACGAAACCCUGUGCAAUCAUGGAGGUUCUCUGAGCCUCAGUUUCCCCAUUUGUAAAAUGGGGCAGAGUUUCUCGCCUUGUGAGAUUCUUGCAAAGACUUAGCUAAGAUCACUGUAUGAAGGCAUCUGGGACAGAGCCUAUACAUCACUGGCACUCAGUCAAUGUUAGCCGAGUCUCAGUUCUCCUGUCCUCCACAAAGGGCUCUGCUCCAUCAUGGCUGAUGUCACCUGCCACAGGCUACAUUGGACUUACUCUGACACCCCUACAUUCCUGAGACUCCAGUAAUCCUAAAUAGUUUUUUCCUCUAAAGAAACUGCCCCGUUCCCCCAUGAGAGGAAACACAACAUCUGUAAAGGGACUUUUUCUUCAGAAUCAGCCAGCCUGAGAGAGCUUGGGGCUAUACUUGAUUUUUCUGGCCCUGGCAUCUGGGACUCUAUACCUGUCCCCUGCAAGGUCUCAGGUACCAAUCAAUGGCAAGAACCCAGCUAACAAAGGGUCAGCCGACAUACCACAACAGGACCCUUCCACUCUGAUGGGGAAGGUUUUUGUCAACAAAGGUUCUGUCUGUGCUGCUGCUGAAUUGUCAGGCUUCAUGAUAGACACAUUCCCUGGGUCUAUAUUUAUGGUUGCAACCCAAUAAUGCCAGCUUUGCAGCUGUGGCCUCAGAGGUGGCCCACCCCUUCCCAGAAAGGCAGGUUGUCAUAACCCCAAAAUAGGUAUUGGGCACUCUGCUUCGGCCCUGGUGAAGGAGCAAGGGAUCUAGAACACUUCCACCCUCUAUCCCCUCUUCAUUUUGCCCUGAGCUCUGACCCUAAUGGAAGACCUGCAGCCUCUGGGUCCCUGAAGCCAUCUCAGGGCCUGAGCACCAGUGGGCCGGCCAGAGAAGAGUGGGCUCAUGGGGCUGGACCUUGGCAACCUCUGAGAAGCCCCUACCAGCUCCCCAGCCACUUUUUGGGAAGGGCCAGGAGUUGGAAAAUCACAUGGUGUUCUGGAAGUGAUUCCCUUGAUAUUUUCUGAGCUGUAAAGACAAGCCGGCUUCUGGGAAAGACUCCUGGGUCUGUAGGCCUAAAGUUCUCCAGAAUGCUACCUUUUCAGGAGCAGAAAGAAUGAGUGAUACAUUCCUGGGAUGAAUCAUAGCAGGUAUGACCUAUGGAACAGGACAAAAGCAAAUGAACAGCACUUCAUUAAGAUCCCCUGAGUAGCUAAGAGUAUGUGUAGGGUAGGGGAGGAGUCGAGGAAUGAGGCCAACAGAGAAAAUGCAUUCGUGUCAAAGGACUGACUUCCUUUUUCAAUCCAAAGGAAUUCCAUCUAAGCUCCCACCAGCCAGAGAACGGAAGCGUGUUGUGCUGGAGCAGUUUAGGCAGUGUCGGAAUUAAUCUUUUAAAAACUGUCUCGGAUGGCUCGGCCACCUUGUGCGAGAUUCGUAAACCGUGUGCAAAACUCAGACUUGUGCAGGCAACCAGAGAAGGUAAGAACCUGUCUUCUGCACGCAGGGCUUCCCCUGCCUGAUUUGUGCUUUGUCUAACCCCAGGAUCUCUCUUCUUCCCAGCGGCUCUUUUUAAAGACUGGUGAAGGCAGGCGAGGCCAAAUUGGCUACAGGGUAGAACCCGCUAUUCUCCCUCUUGGUGAGCUGCUGAACACCUAUUUCAAAUACCUCUAAAGGAUGGACAGCCUGAGGGCUGAGUUCCCGAAUGCUUUUGAUGCUGGGCUCUUGAAGAUUCUCUCUAUGUCUGACUUUCAGAAUGAAAGCAGAUGCAGUAACCCCACCCAGGCACAUUGCAGUCACUGGCUGGCAAGGGAGGAGGGGUAUUAGCAAAAAGUAGUGCAAAGGUAGGGAGGUGGGAUUUGGCACUAGGUAGAGCACGUAGAGUCGGUGGGAAGGAGGCAUUGGCAUAAAGCGAAGGUAGAAAAUAUUCACCCUCUGGGGAUAGGUUACUCCGUAUAGAUGACCACAAAUAAGGAACAAAAACACCUGGGUCAAAUCCUUCCCAGAGUAUGCCAGCUCCCUGCCAGGGUCUGUAUUCAGGACCAAGGUGUAGGUGCUGAUUUAGCUGAAGGUCCCUGUCAUUCCCCCAGCCCCCAAUCCCAGAGGUCACAUGCUCAUUGUCCCACUUAAGCCAAAUUUUUUUUCUUGCCUUAAGCCAACACAUCCCCAAAACAUAUCCUAUAAAAGUAGAUUUCAUAAAGAAGAUAAAUAUUUUGAAUCAAGAAGAGGAUGAAAACAAGUUGUAAACAUGUAACUGAAACAUAAAAAUACACAUCAGUUCACUUACAGAACCAAACAGGGUUACAUCGAAUCAUUUAAAAUGAAAGCAAAGGAAAACUCUUCUCGGGAGCUCUUAAAUUUAGGAAAAGAAUCACUGUAGCAUGCUCACCUUGAACCAGGGAUUGGAUAUUGUGGUUCUUGUACAAAGGAAAAUCUGGGAGGGAGGUGGAGGUCCGAGGUGAAGGAGGGAGGAAGAUUGCAUAGUUGUGAAACAGUGGCUUCUCAUCAAGGUGAACAAGUGCGUCCUCUGAUAAAAUAGCGUUUGAUUUUUUUUUCUGUUCAUUUCUGUUCACGGUAUUUUUCUCUGUCCACCAAACAUGUCAUACACUGACACAUAUAUACACUACACACACACAUGCGAGCGCUAAACACCUGAAUUACACAGCCAUACUUGAAAACGCCCCCGCCCCACUCGUUCUGCGCAAAGUUCCUAUUUGCUUUUGCUACAUCUUGACCCGUUUCUUGUCAAAACUCCUGUUUCGGAUUGUUUCUUUAGCAAAAGGGAUUGAGAGGGGGUGGGGGGGCGGGGGGGCCUUCGAGGAAAGCACCGGAAAUGGUUCUAUUCUCUCACUGAAUUUCUGUGGCAAUGCCUCGCAUUUCGGUUAGGGGCUCACUAGUUUUUAAGAGAUAGGAAACAACUGCCUCUUUUUUUUUUUUAAGCUUUCUUGAGGUAAACAUUAUUUGCUAACACCUUAGGCAGCAGACACGUUUUAUAGUGCUGUUGAGAAACUUUGCAAAAAGGAGGAAACACCACCAAAGUGUAACAUCGAUGCUUAAGAACAUUUAGAAAGCAAGUCCCCGUUUUAACUCAUUCCCCCUUCCUCUCAUUCAGCCAACUCCUUCUAGUAACAUAUAGAGCAGAACAAAGCUGAUUAAUUGUCUAUAUCAUACUGGGCAUCCCGUAUCCCAACCCACGGUAAACCUCUCUUGCUCACAUACUAAAAAUUGUGAGUCAACUGAAAAAUUAAAAUAGAGAUGAACACACUUUACAUUUUUUCAUCCUUUCUAUCUGCCUCAAGCAUAUAUAUAUAUAUAUAUAUAUAUAUAUAUAUAUAUAUACACAUAUAUAUAUGAUAGUUUACAUUAAUAUAGGAAAUAGCAGAGGUUUUUAGUUACAUUUUAUACAGAAUCACUGCAUCUUAUCCUUAUUUUCUAUGCUCUCUCUCUUUUUGGAUAAACAAUUGGCUAUAACAAUCUAUAGUAAGGCUUCACAGAAAGAAUUCUGCAUGUUUUGUUUUUCUCUAAGAACCAAGGUUUGUAAAAUGAGGUUUGAUUCUAGCACCUUAUGCAGUAUUAGUGAUGUUGUUCCCUUGGGAGAAAUUAGCAGUACCCAACACCGCAGGUGAAUCUCUAUCGGUUACGCAGUUCUCAAAGGCAUUGCCAAAGGGAGGACGCUCGACACGGCGGAGAUGCAGGAGCAGUGGGGACAAAACAAAACCCCAGGAUUAAAGUCUUAGCAUCGUACAAAUAAAAUCUUAAAACCGUGUCAAGUUGCUGUCUCCAAAUUAAUAAUGACUUAGUGUUUCAGGGCCACCAAUGAAUCCCUUUAGGUUAUCCUUCCCCAUGAGGUAAGGAAAUAUACUAUGAUGUCCAUUUUAAAUGGGGAGACUGAGUCUGGGAGACCAUACACAGGUCACAGAGGAAACUGUCUGGGUAAGAAACAGGGUGGGGGGAUGCCCAGCCUCUCGCCUCUUACUACCAGACUGUUCCUUGUCACCUCUAACUGGUGACUUGAGAUUUUGGAAAAGCAGCUUAUUGGCCACUGAUGAGGAAGCAAAACAAACAAACAGUUUUUUGUUUUUUUUUUGUUUUAAAUAUCAGCACCAAAGGAAGUUCAAAAGAAGCUGCUCUUUGCUCCCUUACCAAACAUCCCAUAUUACGGAGACAGCAACUUUCACAAGAAGGGAAAAGAAAAUUAGUCACAGGAGUAACCCAUCUCUUUUGUGGGUGCCCUUCCCCAAAGUCAAACGCUCCACAGCGCUGUUAGUUUCAGUUGAGUAGCAUCGAUUUUUGCAGAGGAAUGAUCAACUCCCACCAAAGCUGCAUCAGAACCUCAAUUAUAUAAUUAUAUAACUAUAGUGAUAUCUCUAUCUCUAUAUCUAUUUAUAUAUGUAUACAUUAAAGUCUUUUACUGCACUGGCACGUGAUACCAAGGUAACGUACUGGCAUUGCUGUUUGCUGCAAGUGGCCGCCUUGACUGGAGUUACACGAGAGAGAAGCACCACGAGAAAAGGCACCACAAGGUUUCAAGAAGUUAAAUUGUUUGUUGUCACCGCCCUGAUCUCGCCAUGGUGGGGAAACAGAAAAGUCUUUCAUCUUUAGCAAGGACCCUGGAACAACUGAUUCAAAGAUUAUCCCAAUCCACAUACAUCCAACUCAACUCAACAGGGAGAGAGGGAAGAAAAGAGCCGGAUGUGGUUCGUUUUACUGCUAUUUCUUUUUGGCUACUGGAAAAAGGAAAGCAUUUUCAUUUUUUAAAAAAAAAGGCGGUGGGGGUGGGGGAGGGUGGGGACUCAGACACUGGAAACCAAGCCAUCCCAAAAAAGGGAGAAUAAGAACAAAAGUCUUGUGCUAAGGAAAGUCCUACAUGGAAAAUCUGUCUUUCUAAUAUGAUUCCUUGGUGGCAAUGCAUUAGGGAAAAAAGAGAGAGAGAGAGAGAGAAUGAUGGAAUUACAUCCAUAGGCACCAUUAGCCACAAAUAGCACCGGGUCUAGAUUGAUGAGGACACAUAGAUGUCCACAUCUGUCCACAAAGCUGAGAACCAGGAGUGUUGGCUUAGAAUCAACAUUACUUCAUCCUUAUAGUCUGGCCAAGAAAAUAGGAGGUCGUUGGCCAUUCGGAGCACCAAGAAUCAUGUGUGCUACUGAUGAACCAGAAAAAAAGAGGGGGCAGUCAAGGACUGCAGAGUGGAUGUUAAAUGGCAUUUUUAUUUUUAUUAGGUACUUGCCAGCCUUGAAAUAUCCCCUCCUAUUUCUCAUUCCAGGUGGGGGAAUACACUCCACAUGGGAACAGAGAACCUAUAAUUUUUGCAGAAAGUCUCAAUGGGUGAGUGGUACAGAGUUCUCCUCACCAGCCAUUUUCCUUCCUUUGCUCCUGGUCUGUGUCCAAAAAAGGGAAGUCAGCCAGCCAUGCUGGUGUGAUCUACAAGGCUCCUAGGACUUGCUGUCUAAGCGCAUGGUGACCAGAUGGGGAGGCCUGAGAUCAGGAUCGAAAUGGCUUACUGCAGGGACCCCUCUUCCCAAACUCUGGUGAAUGCUCCCACUGAACACAGAAGGCUGGUUGGGGGCAGGGGUGGUGGUGGUGGUUCUUGAUACAUCUCUGUGGCAUCCUUAUUUAGAUUGAAUUAUAGCUUUUCUUUCUGGUUUCUCGAGCUAGGGGGGUUUAGCUUAAGUUAUCUAUUUACUUAUUUUGAAUUGUGAUGCUUGUCUAUACUGAAAAUAAUACUCCCAUUUCAGCACAAAGAAAAAUCAUUCCUACCACCUUCUAGCAAUCUAACUAAUUUUUCCAAACCUACUUUUGGGGUGUGGACAACAGGGGCAAACAAAAGACUUCUGCCAGAGGAGUCCCCCAUUUGCAAAGGAUCUCCUCUAGAACCUUCCUGGGACAGAGGAAAAUCACCAGGUUACACCACCUGCCUUGGCCCCUUCCCCCACGUCUCCUUUUUUGCUGUUUCCAAUCAUGUUUGCCAUAACAGACCUGGGUGUUUGGGAGUCUCUGCCCAUGAUUUUAGGAGAAUGCUCUCGGCCCAUUUAUUUCUAACAAGGGUUCCCAGAACUUCCUCCUAGACAGGACAUGUAUCACUGGCCUCCAAGCCCCUGCCUCUCCAUUGACCUAAGGUGACUGGUGUCCUGGCCACGGUUCCAGCAAACACAGUAGGUGGAGUCUAGAUGGGAAAGUGCAAUUCUGAGCUGCUAGGACAGGGAAGGUGGACUCUCCCAGCCUUCCUCUUUAGCUCCUCCUGCUGCUGCUGGCCAGCAGAGAUGGCAGAAAGAAGGGAAAUCCAAAUCUGUCAUUAUAACCUGUGGAAGGCACAACCUGUUGCUGACCAGGCAACCAGAAGCAUUGGUUUGUGGCCCUAGAGAAGGGAAAUAUUGACAGGCUUAGCUCAGAGCUGCCUCCUCCAAACAUCUUCCCUAUUUUCGAAGUCAAGCACUCCCUCCACUGGACCCCUGCAGCAUUUACUUUGUGCCUCUAUGUAUUUAUCAUAUUCUGCCUUCCACUACACUAGAGUUCUUUGAGUUUCUAGCCGAGUCAUAGUGGUCAGAGUGUGUUAGAGCUGAAAGAAACAUUUUGGAAACAAAUUGAUGACUAGAGAGCCUACAUAAUUGAUCCAAGGUUACACAGUGUUGGGCCAGAGCUCAGAUUUACUAGUUUCUGACGGGGAGUCUUCAUACUGUUCUGUUAGGACAAUGGAGAUGUCAUUUUAGCAUCUGUACCUUCCAAAUUUUCAUUCAAUAUUUUUCCUCCCUUAUUGCAUCACCCAUGGGUAAGGACUGUGUUUUGCAUGUAUUAGGUUCUCAGUUAAAUGAAAUUAAAUCACAUUUUUUAGAAUAAGAGCUUUUUUUCCCCCUAUCCAAGGGGUACAUUAAUUACGUAGCACAUGUCAGCAGUCAAAUGCUGAUGGGCUCUCAUUGAUCUGUAACACAGAUCUCUUUGCAUAAGCCAUACUGUGUAGGUCAAGUGUGAUGAAGGGCAAGAGUCCCUCCUAGGUUUCCACCCACUUUCUUUGGCUAAGCCACUUUCGAAUAGUCCUUUCUCUGGAAAGAAGGGACUAGAAAUAGGCUCAUUUUUAUUCCCUUAGGUUGAAACUUUGGUCAACAGCAGGUGGCCAUAAACCUAUAUGUUUGGGAGGCUCAGCUGGUAGACCUAAUCCUUAACCUACAGUUCACUCUAAAUUAUUUUUAACACCACCAAAGAGUCAAGGAAGACAUAGUCUAGGCUUUGGAAGCUAUAUUCCAGUCACACAGCUGCUGCUCAGAACAGAAGAAAAGGGAAAAGGAAAAAUUUGCAGCCAGAUACAAGGGUGAGUCUCAUGUGGGUGAGAGAAAACUCCCCAUCUCGUUGAAAUGGACAGAGAGGGACUAGGGUACACAGCAUCAGCCUGGAAUUGACAAGUUCCAGAACUUUCUUGUUAUGGAUGCAUCCCAGAUCAUUUGCUCAGUAGGGGGAAAAUAACUGGAAUGUCAGAAUUAAUGGUGUUUACAACUCUGCUUCCUCUAAAUCCUCCAAUAUUCAUACAAACCAGUUUUUCAGACAUGGCUAAUGCUCAGAGUAAAUAGAAGCAAUGAGAGAAUAUUUUGUUAGCCUUUUAGGAAAAAUGGCAAAUUGUAUGCACUCAAGCUGUUGAAUUACCUGAGAAUUUGAAUAGUUCUGCUCCAUAGUCAGUUAGCAGUAUCACCAUCUUUACUGGGUUAAAAUCGGAGGAAUGACUAGUAGAAAAAUAUCCAAGAAAGACUAAACAAAUGUGAAAACAUCCUGAAAAAUAAUCAUCAUUUUGAGAAGAGAGAUUCGAUUGCAGCCUUCUGACCACUGCAGGCUGCGUCACCUAACCAGGCAGGCGGGUUGAGAGAGCCAGUGACCAGGUGAGCACAGGAGCAGACCCAAAACAUUACUGCAGGGUGAAGUCAGUGAGGCCAGAGCCACGAUUCUGUGGUCUGUUCUCAGGCAGACACAGACUUAGAAAAUGCUGCAAAGUCUGCCCAGCUGCAGGGAGAAAACUGUAUUUGCUUUGAAUGGCAAACCCACAGACAUCAAGACAUGACAGAGACUUGAGGGCAUUCUGUUUCUCUUUCUUUCUCUCUUUUCCCUUUCUCUUUUUGCCCUCUCCACUUCCCUUCCUUCCUUCCUUCCUUCCUUCCUUCCUUCCUUCCUUCCUUCCUUCCUUCCUUCUUCCUUCCUUCCCUGCUUGUAUAUUUUCCUCUGUAACAAAUGUGUAAUUUUUUUAAGUAAAGGAAAAGAGUCACAUAGGAAGGCAGGGUUGCACCAUUAGCCCCUCCAGAAUUCUGUCUCAUCUUCCUAUUUCCUACCUCCAAAUUUCUCUCCUUGUUGGAGCCCAUUUUCAGUAACACCAAUAGAAAAGUAGGUUUCUUGGAAACAUGUCUUGUCACAAAAAAGUCCGUGUAGGAAUAAAGAUAAUGGAACUGUUAUACACUGAAGAAUGACUUGGGGAUAAGAGGACAUCGAUAGGGGAGGAUGUCACAUAUGCUCCUGGAAUGGCAUUUUGCCCAGCUGGCUGUGUGCCGUACCACCAGAUGUGCAUCUGUGACAUGUUAUGGGAAGGGACCCCAAAAGCUGUUCCUGUGGAGUGGGCUUGAAAAGAUUUCUAGGGGUUUUGUCCAGACCCUGUGGUUUUCUCCUACUUAACACAAGGCCUUCUGGAUAGCAGCGGCUGUCCUACCCGCACCUGUCCAGAUUCCAAACAUUCUUAGAAUAUGUCUCACAUCACUGCAGGUGGCUUCUCUCGCCCUUCCAGUCAAAGGAGGGACCUCAGCAUGGGAUGCGAGUCAGGAAAGAAGGCCUGUAACUCAAAGUACUGUAUUGCAUUAGUACCUUUCCCCUCUAGGUAACCUCAAAUGCUCUUUUCCCUUCACCCAGCAUAAGCAAAUAUCCUGGCACCUUGGGUCAUGUGGAUUCUGUCACAAGGGCAGGAGGGAAUUUGAGUGGCUUUUUCACAAUGAGUGUACCUAUGUCUUCCCUCUGACAGACUCCAGGUGUGUUGUGGCCAUCCAGGCCUACAAAGUGAUUGCUCCAAAAUGUCUCCCCUCUAUUAAAGUCACCACAAGGGGAUGUCACACUCCCCAAGUCUCCAGCAGGGAGGAGGCUGCUUCACUAGGCUAUCUUCCCAUCAUCUGAAGACAUGGCUACUGUAGGGCCAGACCCAUCAGGCUUGGGUUUCAUGGGCCAGAAAUCUGGCAGCCUAAGGACAUCUAAUGCUGACCAGGGUCCAGGCAAUAACUUCCACCUUUCUUCUUUUGGUAUGCUUCCCUCUCUUCACCUGCUCUGGGGAGGGCUGUGCCAAUGGGUCAGAGUUAUUUGGUGUGAUCUGAACUCCAAAAUGUGGGGAGCUAUCAAGAAAGCUACUGCCCGGAGUCUAUACAUUGCUCUGUGGACCUGCUGAGAAUUCUGGGAGCAACUGGAGAGUCUCAAAAGCCCAGCACACCCCCUGUUGGCCUCAUGUACUGGGUGGAGGAGAAGAAGGUGCAUCUCAGCCCAGGGGGGUCUUCAUGGCCCCACACCCUGGAGAAAGAAAAACCCAUCUAGGCUAGGUCUAUUUCAAGUCUGGCAAGAGCCCUGAACAUCAAGAUACUCUGCUUCAUCAACUUUUUAAGUCCUUUUAAGGAAAAGAUACAUAUUAUAUCUAUACACACACAUAUGUAUGUGUGUGUGUGUAUAGUAUACCUAUAUAGACAUAUAUGUGCCCAAUAUUGGCAUGUUUAUGUAUCUAGCAGUGAUCAGUAAGCUUAGAAUGCAGUUAUGUGAUCAUGUACUUCAACUGGGCCCCUUUUAGUUUUGCACAAUUUGCAGUAAUCUCAGAAUCUCAGAUCACUUCAUAAUUUAUGUGAUUUCCAGUGUACUCUCUCUCUCUGUCUCUGUCUCUGUCUCUGUCUCUGGCAUUUCAUAAUCGCUAUAAUUUCAAGCAAAUAAAAAUAAAGCCCUCAAAAAUAAGGAGGUACCAUAGGUUAGCCUCCAUGUUGAAACUGGAGGGGACCCUACCACAGUGUGACCCAUCACAUUGCACAGGGCUUUUUGCUACGUUGAUGUGCUAAAUGCCCUAGAUAGCCCAGUGGCUGUGAAAAGUGUAUGUUCACUUGGAGGCCAAUAUUAGUCUCAUAAGUUAUCAGUGGGUGUCCCCAAAUGCUGAAGGAACAGUCACCCUUUCUCUCCUGCCCUUCUUUCAUAAGUCUCCCUCAGAACCCUUUUAAAGAGCCACACCUUUUAAAGGCAUAUAUAUGUAUGUAAAUGAAGAAAGAAAUGUAGCCUGUCCUUGACCUCAGGCAGGCUGGGCCAGUUGAGAAGCUGGGGCCAUGGCUCAGAUGAGGGGAGAAUGACAUAUUUGGUGGAAGCAUGCAGCAGCAGUGGGGUCAAGGAGAGGGAAAAGGCUAAAGGGGUUGAGUUUGGACAAACAGCCAACCUGAAGCAGUACGCAUAUGAGAACCUGCCUUAGGGAAGGAAGGCCUUUUGGAAUGAACACCAGAGGUGGGAGCUGUCUUGGACACAGUCUGGAGAAGGGCAGAGAAGCGGCUGAGAAGCACAGCGUGAUGUGGGGCCAGGCAGCACCAAAGCUGAAGACAUCCCUUCCUUGGGUCCUGGGUUGGAAGGAAAAGGGCUCCGUACUACCUUGGGUUCCUAUGCAAACUCACAUAGGGCCUCCCAAGUCCUGUGUCCAAGGUGGAGAGAACCACUGUGGACCACAGAGUCCCACAUCUUUUCAAACCAAAUAACCUUCCCUUUCUCCUUGUCCCUUCUGCCCUUUGAAAGGAAAAGAAAGUAAUCCUUUUCUUUCCCUAAAGACGGGCAUCAUAUAAUCAUUUUCAAAAUAACAAAUGGUUUCACUCUGGUUCUAAAACCCAGAGGAAGCCCCCACUGAGUUCUGAGGAUGUUCUUUCUGUGGCACGGAGAUUUCUGGGGGGCUGGGGAGACAGCCCUAGUAAUACUGACAGAACAUUCCCAAAACUAAGCUCUGGCGCACGUCCAGGAAGCUUCACCUUGGGGCUGGAGUUCCAACCUGUUUAGCUCAAUAGGUGUUUGAGUUUUCGUAGAAACUAGAGAACUUUGGGCACAGCAUUCAACAAGUCAUUUGAGAUGUGCUAUAUUUUAGAAUAUUUAAGAAUCCAGACUUGAUUCUUUGAGUGUGUUUGGGAAGGGAAGAACUUUGCACAUGGAUAAACAGAUGAGAAAUUUUAAAAGACUUUUGAUAGCUAAGCAACUGAAAACUCCUCCCCCAACCACCAUGGGGAAAAAAAAGUUUUUUAAAGACAAGUCACAUGUUUUGAUUUGUUUUCUAGUAAAGACCCUUGUCUUUGGAAGCCAAGACUUCCCAGCAAACAACAGUAUACCAGACUCUCCAAGGACACAAACCAACCAAAACAUAUCCAGCUAUUGUUCCAGCACAGCAUAAGCAAACUGUUCUCUGGGUCUGGAGAGAGAAGAUGAAGGCUAUGGGAAUACUGAGGCUGAGCAGGAGAAAUGAUUGAAAUAAUAGAGCCGUAUCUGCUGGUCACAGGAUGCGCUCACUGAGAUUUGCCUUCAUUUUCCCCCAAAGGGAGGAAAUCAACCAAUAUUAGUUUGCUUCUCAGAAUAGCAUUCUCUGAUGGAAGCCAAAAGGUUUAAAGCCCUUCCUUCUUGCCCAAAUAUUUGGGAAUGAAAGAAGAGUAGCCUUUCUGGGUGGAAAGACAGAGAACAUCUUUCUUGACCCACAUAGAGAUAACUCUGUUAUUCUGUCCUCUUGUAAUCAUUUAAAAAUAUCUAUUAAUCAAAAAAGAGGAGAGGAGCUAGAUCACCUUCCCCUUCAAUUGAAGGAGCUCAAUUGAAGUUUAAAAGGAUUUUAAAUAGGAAGCAAACUUGAUAACCAUAAUACUUUUAUCCUCAAAGUGCUUUACCAAGACAUUAAUUACCUUAUCCUCACAACACCCCUGUGAGGUAAGUAAGCAAUACUCUUCCCAUUUUACAGAAAGAGAAAUUGGCCCCAAGAGUGCCUUGACCUAGGUCCGCAGAAGGAUAGAGUCCUGGAUAUUUUACUUCUAGUGACAUGAUCUGUUCAUGAGAACGUGCCUUUCUUUUCUUGAGAUGCUUUCUCUGACCCUUCCAUAAAACAAUAAUGCUUAAAUAUGUCACUCAGUAAAAUCGAUUUCCUCUGUUUGAGUAGAAUAUGCUUUGCUAUUUCUGCCCCCAGAGUGUGUAGGAAGUAACAGUUAGACUGUUGCAAAUAUUUUCUUUCCACAUACUUCCGGAAGCCUUCCUCUUCUUUAUCACUCUUCCUACCCAACUACUGAGUCAUUUUGUUCUCUGUGGUUCCACGUGUCCAUCUUCGAAGUCCUCAUUCAUAAAUGCUAUACAGUUCAUUUGCCAUCCAUCCCAGUCAAAAGAGGAAUGCCGAUGAGAACAGGGAAUCAAUUGGAGGUCUCAUUUAUUCCUUCCUUCAGGUAACCAUCAGAAAUACCUUGUGGAAACAAAUAAUCCCAGCAGAAUUUGGCCUAUCCACAGAAUGGUCAGAUACAACAUCAAACAGAAGUCAUUACUGAAUUCCAAACUAUGGUCUGGUCCCUUGUGCUAUCAAAACAAUAAUAUUAGUCUUGGAGAACAGAGUCAGAGCAGGUGGGAAAGGAGUUCUUGUCGGGGAUCCACAGCCAAAGAGCAGGAGGGUUUGCAGCAACAACUAGAACCUGCUUGGGUGAACUAUCUGUUCCUUUGGGAUAGUCUCAGAAGGUGCAUUUUUUUAUAUAGAAUUUUUAUAUUGAAAUAUACCUGAACUCCAAGGGCCAGAGCCAGGUUGACUGAUUGAGAACAGGUGAAACUUCUAGAAUUCUCCUCUCCAAGAAGGUUCCAAGAGCCAAUAGAAAAUCAAUGUUGCAGCUGGUCCUCCUGAAGUGCUAGUGUUAUUCUCCACUGCUCCCACCUGCCCUCACUCUAGUUGAGUCCUAAGAACAUGGAGGUUCUUAGCAUGGGUCUAUUUUCUUGUUCAAAGGGUAUCUUGGUAGUUGAAUUGAUAACAGUCAAACCAUAGUAAAGAGAAAAAAAAGAAAAAAGGAAAGAAAAAGAAACUCAACUAAAUUUUCCAAUUCAAAUGUUGAGGAAAAAAAUACCCUGAUUUGGAUAAAAAUCAAUAGUGAUAUUCCCCAGCCCCUGUUUGUCUCUGAAUCUUUGCCUGCAGGCUGCACUCAAAGCACACCAGGGAAUGAUUAAAACCCACCAUUGGGACACACAUUUUGGCUGAUGGAUGUUUUUUAAAAAACAAAGUUUGUUACUUUACUCUGCAGAGAGGCAAAGACAAGGUGAGUCCAUUUGAUGAGGUGAGCCUCAAGGUUGAAAAAGAUUGUGAGAAAGAACAAAAGUGAGGGAUAUUUCCCAAAGAGCUUUCACCCACCUUAAAAACCAUCCAAAUACUCCCCAUGCACCUAUUCUCUUGUCUUCCCAAAGCUCAAUGAAUAUCAGUGUUCAAAUUGAUCCCUCCAUAUAUUCUCUGAUACUUUAGGAAAAAAUAACAUCAGGACAUUUGGUUUAGAACUACAAGUGGCUGGCUUGAGCUAGGUGACCCCUGGUCACCUGACCAGAGUACCAUUGUGCUGGGUUCACAGUGCUGUGAAGUGUCUAAGAACUAUACGUGUGUGAGACUUCUCCCUAUCCAGCAGUACUGCUCAUCCUGUGGGCUUCCAGGUUCUACUUCCUAAGUAACGAGGUCACCACUAUUCCUUAUAUGAUGCCUUCGCUACAGGCAAUAAUGACUGAAUCCUCACAGCAUCCCUGAGCAGGAGAGAAAGAAGAGGUUGGCUUUCUCUCUCUCCACUUUACAGAUGGAGAAACCAAGGCACCGAGAGGUGAAGUGAGUUAUCCAUGAUCACAGUGGGGACCCUGAAUCAGCCUGUGAUAUUUCCUGAUCUUUCUGGGUCUAAAGACAAGCUUCUAGGAGGCCUACAGCUGAAACAAAUCUCCUAAACCCACUCUAGCCUGAGGAUCCCAGAGCCAUGUUGGGGAUAGAGAAACAGACCAAAGGAGUUCAUCGAAUUGGUGACCAGUUGUCUAUAUUCACCAUGACAUAUGGCCAAAGGCUGCUUCUAGAGAGAUGUUCACUGGGUUACCAAUUGGCACUAUACCCAAAGGAAAUUAUUUUUAUUGUCCUCCUUGGUAGACUUGUCCUCCUUAAGGAUGGACUUUAGGAGUAGUCCUUCCUGGAUGAGCAUGGGUGCGCUGACUGACUUCAGUUUGUGUUGUGGGGUCUUGUGAUUCAUGUUAAGGAUUGGCAGGGGCAGGCGUCUCCUAUCUGGGCUUGCAUAUUGUUCUGCAUGGGAUGGGGCAGGCCAGGGCAUAUGCCCUUUAGGUCCUGCCUGCUCAUUUCCAAUUUGGUCUAUUCUUAGCCCUUGACACAAGGUGUUGGCCAUGUGCAGGGGGAACUCCUACGGUUGUCCGUCUGCUGCCCUCAGGAGCUGCCAUUAAUAGCACUCCCAACCUUUGGCUCCAGUACAUACCAGCCAUGUCCUGCCAGUCACUGCAAGGAAAGGUAGAGGGAGUGAGAAGGCACAGCUUCUUUCCAGGAGGUGGAGAAGAAGCAGAUGGUGCCCGAGAGAGUCAAGUAAGGCAGACAGAACCAGGCAGGCAAAGAAAUAAAGCUGCAGGCAGAUCAAGGCAGUGCCCUUGUCUUUUGAUAUUUGGCCAAUAGCACAAGAUGCGGUGUUUUAAGCAAGAAACAAAAUGUUUAAAAUAGCUAAAGAUGGAUGAGAAAGAGGCUUGUGUUGUCAUUGCAGGAAUGCAUCUUUUUCCCCAGUGAGGGGCUUCAGAAAAAAUCUCUGAGAGGGCAGAGUUGCCUCUUUACAAGUUUUGCAAUUGGGACAGACACACAUUGAUUUAAGAUGCUCUGGGGGCAGCCCUCAUACAAACUUAUGGUUUUAUAGCCUGUGAUAGGUCAACCACUGCAGUUUCCAUGUGCAGGAGGUUGACCUGCAGAUGAGAAUGGAAUGUUACCUAUAACUGUGGCCAGUUUUAGAUGAAGGGAUAAUGCUACAGACUUUAACCUUGAAGAACUUCCCAUUUUAUUCACCUCAUUGACACCUGGACUUUAAUAAGAGAAGCUGAUGUUGACUUAAAUUCACAAGUAUCAUAGGAUACUUGUGUGUGCUUCAUAAGGAGGGCUGCCCGACAGAAUCUAGUAAUCAAUAAAUGUUUGAGAAUGAAAUGAACAGAACUGCUACCUGUAAGGCUGAUCCAGCCACUGGGAUGAGUCUGUCUACGCAUCUGUGUCCUUCUCUUUCAUCAUGCAGGAUCUUUCCCAGGACUCCUGUGAGCUCUUCAAGACUUUCCUGGCAGUUUUCUAAGUAUACACUAGGAACAUCACUUGGAAUCUAAGUGAAAUUAAUUGCAAUGAGCUCUCUUCGCAUUCUCCAAAUUUAUAUGCCCCCCACCAAAUCUGGCAGUGUUAUUUUAACAUUUUUUGGUUUAGCAAAGAGAUAACAGAUUUUAGCUUUUUGAUAAGACAAUCAAAUGAGUGUGCACAAGGAAUGCACCCACAUCCAGGCCACCACCUGAAGGUGCUGUCAUCACACACAAGAGGGCUGAAAUGGCUCACUUUGAAUAAUGAGGCACUUUCCUUGGAAAAGAAAAUGCCAUCUUGUAUACUAAGCAAAUGUUAGGUGGCCCAGUUCACCCCACUGGAGAAGCUGGGAGCCAGAAGGUGUGGAUACUGUAGGUAGAAUAUAUCCCAGGCCCAUUCUCCUUUGGGAUCUGACAUCCUUUUCUCUAGACCAAAGGCUCUAAGCCUGCAUGCUACUGUCCUUUCCUUGCAUCUGUUCCCAGGUAAUGGAGAAAAUUUUGCUACAGUCUAGGGGCAUCAGGGCUUGGGGCUUAUUAUAGAUCCCUCCAUCCCCAGGAGCAGAGUAGACAAGGAAAGGGGAGGUAUGCUCUAUCAGGCACAUAAACACAGGGAAAGAAGUUUCUGUGUAUACAGAGGAGCAGGACCAUGUCCAUUAAGAGGUCCUCCAAACAAGAUCAGCAUCAGAAACCUCUGCUUCUGCCACUAUGACUGUGUGGGAGGGGGUAAAAGUAGAGGGAGACUUGAGAAAAUGAUCUCGUUUGGUGUUUUUUAAAAACCUGUAAAUUUUUCUAAGAAUAAGGCUCCAAUUGGGUGGCAUAGGGUCUGUCGCCUAUGGCAUGAGGUGCCACAAGGCCAAUAGAAUCAUCCUCAUGACCAUGGUCCAGACAGGUAUAUUUGUACUCUUUUAAGCCAUUCUUGGACUCAGAGGGGCCAUGGAUAUUGAGGUGAUGGUAAGUUAGGCCACCAGGGCCAUAGAGUAUUGGCUGAAUUUGUGCCUGGGGAGGUAGAGUGAGGGGGAUCUGGCAGGAGUGGGGAAGCCCCUGGGGCCAUAAGGAAGUGUCCUCCUCGACUGGAAAGGGACAUGUUGGCAGCAUGUGCCAUUAAGAGAGAUGGUGCCUGUUCCCCAUAGCACCCCUGGCCAACUUGUUCAGAACAAGGUGAACCUUUUGGAGACAGAGUGGAGAGGUGUGUUUGAGAUAGGAGAAACUUUGGGGGGGUGAGUGAGGCCAGUGGGGGCUCAUCUGAUAAAUUAAACCCUCUUAGCUCCCCUCCUCAUGGUCUAAAGAGACAUGAUAUUCCGACUUGGGAUGUCACAGGUUUGUGGCAAUGAGCUCAGGGACAUCACCUCAAUAUUAUCUGAGGAGAAUGAGGUUUCUUUUCAUUCUGAGGCCCAGAGAAAAGGCACACUCCCUGAGCAAGGGAGAAACAGAACUUGCAGAAAGGAUGCUAACAAAAUCAGCCAGAUUUUAGAGAUAGUACAUAUUUCUGAGAAUGAAGAGCCAAAGUUCUAUGGGGGGUUGUGGGCAGAUUUGAUGGGGGGAGUGGCAGUAAGUAAAGAAAGGAGAUUACCUUCCUAUUUUAUUCUACAGCUGCUUGUACAGUGUGCUCAUCUCCCACCAGAACUAAAUAUAGAGAGUUAAUUAGUCUUCAUCAAGCACUCUGCUGGGGGGCAGCUGGGGCAGCAUAGCCCUUAAGAGGUUUGCCAGGCGCUCAGGCAAAUGGCAGACUAAAAGCAGGUUCCCAGUGUGGGAUGAGGCCACCACUGCUCACUGAGUGAUUCUGCCACAGAGCAGCCUGAAGGGUCUGGGUUUUCAGAACCAAUGUCUUCCAGGUAAGGAGACAGACCUCCCAGGGGUGGCUCUGAGCAGGGGAAUGUGUGCAUUCCGCCAGCCACCAGCAGCCCCAGAAGCAACUGGAGGUGGGGAGAAGACCCAAGGGGACCUGCUGGUUGGGACUAGUGGCCAGAGGGUGUCCAGGGGAUUGGAAAACUUAAGGACCUGCUAUUGGCUGAUGGUACUGAGAAAGCAAAUGAAAACUCUCCUCUGUUCAUUCUCGUCAUGUGUCCCUGCCCCUCUCCCAUGUUUUCUACUUCUUUCCAGACUUUUCUUCCUUCUUCUGUCCCUAUGCCAAGACAGAUUUCCCUGCUACUGCUCAUAAUGCAUAUUUUCAUUUUCAUCACUAGGAAAGUAACUGGCAUAAUGGAGAGGUGGGGAGUAACAUUUCACAGGAUAAGUGUGCUCUCCUGCCUGAGUCUUGUGGAGCCCAGUCCAAUAGAGAUCAAAAGAAAGGAUUUCUGAAAUGCCCCGUGGUCUUCUCAUUUGCUCCCAGUGGCUAAGACCCCAGAGGGCCCUCCCUGAGUUGGAAGUUGUCACCCCAACUUUUGGCGCUCCAAGUCCACAAAUGUUGGUAAUUUUCUCAGUUGCAUGUAAACAUAAAUACACACACACACACACACACACACACACACAAACACACGUGCACACAUGCUAAAUGUGGAGUAGUAGAAUACAGGUGGCAAAUUAAAGCCUGUGACUGUAUCAAAACGAAACAGAAGGAGAAAGGACAGGCAAACAAGCCAAAGUGGCAGAGGUCCCAAAGGGAUGCACGGGGGACAAUGUCUAGGAUUGCUCCAGUGAUGGACGUCUAUAGGGCUCUAGGCACACAUGGCCCCAGAGCCGAGGCAGACAAGAGUUAGGACUAUAGCAAGCCAGGAUGGGAUGGCCCCUCUCAAAUGGCCUCACCUCUUCUGGCCUCAGCAGAGUAAGCAGCAAGAUAAACCCUCGGCAGGGAAGCAGAAUAAAAAGGAAAGCACCGCUGACCAGAUUGGAAUUCCCAAUUAACUACUGAGUGGCCCAUGGGCCUGUCCCUUGGAUGGGCGGAGACAGUCCCACAUGGCUGGUCUUUGCCAAGGCCUGGGUGUGCUCUGUGCAUCAUGCUUCCUAGACGGAUGGGCACGAGGGCCACAGGCUCUCUGCACCUCUCCUCCCUUCCUCCUUUCUGCCAGGAAGGACCUGAGGAGACAACCGAGUCAGGGAGAGGGACAGGACGGCGCUGCUAAGUUUAGUAAUAAUAAAGGAAAUCAAAGGGACCUGAACAAAAAAAGGAGCAUCCAGUUUACAACUGAAAGAAAAUUUAAAACUUGUUCUUUUUUUUUCUUUUUUCUUUUUUUUUUUAAACAGCUUUAGAUAAAUAAUAAAGGGGGUGGAAAGGAGAAGCCUCUUUGAAUAAUAAUUAAAAAAAACCCCACAAACAUAAAAAAAUUCCUCAGGUUUUGAACUUCUUUUGAGAAUAGUUCAAUGUGAGGUCUUGCACCCUAAACAGUUAUAUCUGGAAUUAAAAAAAAAAAAAUUGCAGCUCCACACAACAAAGACAAA